UACGGAGGGUGCAAGCGUUAUCCGGAUUCACUGGGUUUAAAGGGUGCGUAGGAGGGCAGGUAAGUCAGUGGUGAAAUCCCCGAGCUUAACUUGGGAACUGCCGUUGAUACUAUCUGUCUUGAAUGUUGUGGAGGUGAGCGGAAUAUGUCAUGUAGCGGUGAAAUGCUUAGAUAUGACAUAGAACACCAAUUGCGAAGGCAGCUCGCUACACAAUUAUUGACUCUGAGGCACGAAAGCGUGGGGAUCAAACGG
rnacentral:rRNA from 1 species